AGUCGAGCGAUGAGAUCACUUCGGUGAAGGAUUAGCGGCGAACGGGUGAGGAACACGUGAAGAAUCUGCCUUCAACUCUGGGAUAACUCCGGGAAACCGGGGCUAAUACCGGAUAUGAGCCUUGAUCGCAUGAUCGGGGCUGGAAAGUUUUUCGGUUGAAGAUGACUUCGCGGCCUAUCAGCUUGUUGGUGAGGUAAUGGCUCACCAAGGCGACGACGGGUAGCCGGCCUGAGAGGGCGACCGGCCACACUGGGACUGAGACACGGCCCAGACUCCUACGGGAGGCAGCAGUGGGGAAUAUUGGGCAAUGGAGGAAACUCUGACCCAGCGACGCCGCGUGCGGGAUGAAGGCCUUCGGGUUGUAAACCGCUUUCAGCAGGGAAUAAGCGCAAGUGAAGGUACCUGCAGAAGAAGCACCGGCUAACUAUGUGCCAGCAGCCGCGGUAAUACAUAGGGUGCAAGCGUUGUCCGGAAUUAUUGGGCGUAAAGAGCUCGUAGGUGGUUUGUUACGUCGGUUGUGAAAUUCAGGGGCUCAACCCCUGACUUGCAGCCGAUACGGGCAAGCUAGAGUUUGGUAGGGGAGACUGGAAUUCCUGGUGUAGCGGUGGAAUGCGCAGAUAUCAGGAGGAACACCGAUGGCGAAGGCAGGUCUCUGGGCCAAUACUGACACUGAGGAGCGAAAGCGUGGGGAGCGAACAGGAUUAGAUACCCUGGUAGUCCACGCCGUAAACGGUGGGCGCUAGUUGUGCGAACCUUCCACGGUUUGUGCGACGCAGCUAACGCAUUAAGCGCCC
rnacentral:rRNA from 1 species